rnacentral:rRNA from 1 species
AUUGAACGCUGGCGGCAUGCCUUACACAUGCAAGUCGAACGGCAGCACGGGUGCUUGCACCUGGUGGCGAGUGGCGAACGGGUGAGUAAUACAUUGGAACAUGUCCUGUAGUGGGGGAUACCCCGGCGAAAGCCGGAUUAAUACCGCAUACGAUCUACGGAUGAAAGCGGGGGACCUUCGGGCCUCGCGCUAUAGGGUUGGCCGAUGGCUGAUUAGCUAGUUGGUGGGGUAAAGGCCUACCAAGGCGACGAUCAGUAGCUGGUCUGAGAGGACGACCAGCCACACUGGGACUGAGACACGGCCCAGACUCCUACGGGAGGCAGCAGUGGGGAAUUUUGGACAAUGGGCGAAAGCCUGAUCCAGCAAUGCCGCGUGUGUGAAGAAGGCCUUCGGGUUGUAAAGCACUUUUGUCCGGAAAGAAAUCCUUGGCCCUAAUACGGUCGGGGGAUGACGGUACCGGAAGAAUAAGCACCGGCUAACUACGUG